rnacentral:rRNA from 1 species
CCUACGGGGGGCUGCAGUGGGGAAUAUUGGACAAUGGGCGAAAGCCUGAUCCAGCAAUGCCGCGUGAGUGAUGAAGGCCUUAGGGUUGUAAAGCUCUUUUACCAGGGAUGAUAAUGACAGUACCUGGAGAAUAAGCUCCGGCUAACUCCGUGCCAGCAGCCGCGGUAAUACGGAGGGAGCUAGCGUUGUUCGGAAUUACUGGGCGUAAAGCGCACGUAGGCGGCGAUUCAAGUCAGAGGUGAAAGCCCGGGGCUCAACCCCGGAACUGCCUUUGAAACUAGAUUGCUAGAAUCCUGGAGAGGCGAGUGGAAUUCCGAGUGUAGAGGUGAAAUUCGUAGAUAUUCGGAAGAACACCAGUGGCGAAGGCGACUCGCUGGACAGGUAUUGACGCUGAGGUGCGAAAGCGUGGGGAGCAAACAGGAUUAGAUACCCGAGUAGUC